UCCCUGGUGGCCCAGUGGUUAGGACUCAGUGCUUAUACUGCCGUGGCCCAGGUUCAAUCCCUGGUUGGGGAA